rnacentral:rRNA from 1 species
GAUGAACGCUAGCUACAGGCUUAACACAUGCAAGUCGAGGGGCAGCGCAGUGUAGCAAUACAUGGGCGGCGACCGGCGCACGGGUGCGUAACGCGUAUCCAACCUUCCCGUUACUCAGGGAUAGCCUUCCGAAAGGGAGAUUAAUACCUGAUGGUGUUUGAAUUCCGCAUGUUAUUCAAACUAAAGAUUUAUCGGUAACGGAUGGGGAUGCGUGACAUUAGAUAGUAGGCGGGGUAACGGCCCACCUAGUCUACGAUGUCUAGGGGUUCUGAGAGGAAGGUCCCCCACACUGGAACCGAGACACGGUCCAGACUCCUACGGGAGGCAGCAGUGAGGAAUAUUGGUCAAUGGUCGGAAGACUGAACCAGCCAAGUAGCGUGAAGAAUGAAGGUUCUAUGGAUUGUAAACUUCUUUUAUACGGGAAUAAAACCUCCCACGUGUGGGAGCUUGUAUGUACCGUAUGAAUAAGCAUCGGCUAAACUCCGUG